rnacentral:rRNA from 1 species
AGAAAAUAGAUACCCGGGUAGUCCACGCCGUAAACGAUGAGCACUAGUUAUUGGAGGUAUUGACUCCUCCAGUGACGCAGCUAACGCAUUAAGUGCUCCGCCUGGGGAGUACGGUCGCAAGACUAAAACUCAAACAAAUUGACGGGGGCCCGCACAAGCGGUGGAUUAUGUGGUUUAAUUCGAAGCAACGCGCAGAACCUUACCUAGGCUUGAACUCCUACGAACCUGUUUUAAUCGACGGGGUGCCCGCAAGGGAAUGUAGUGAGAGGUGCUGCAUGGCUGUCGUCAGCUCGUGUUGUGAAAUGUUGGGUUAAGUCUCGCAACGAGCGCAACCCCUAUCGUCUGUUGCCAGCAUUAAGUUGGGCACUCUGACGAGACUGCCUGGGUUAACCAGGAGGAAGGUGGGGAUGACGUCAAGUCCUCAUGGCCCUUAUGUCUAGGGCUACACACGUAAUACAAUGGCGCGUACAGAGGGAAGCGAACUCGCAAGGGGAGCAAAUCUCAAAAAGCGCGCCUCAGUUCGGAUUGGAGUCUGC